rnacentral:rRNA from 4 species
UAGGGAAUCUUCGGCAAUGGGGGCAACCCUGACCGAGCAACGCCGCGUGAGUGAAGAAGGUUUUCGGAUCGUAAAGCUCUGUUGUAAGAGAAGAACGUGUGUGAGAGUGGAAAGUUCACACAGUGACGGUAACUUACCAGAAAGGGACGGCUAACUACGUGCCAGCAGCCGCGGUAAUACGUAGGUCCCGAGCGUUGUCCGGAUUUAUUGGGCGUAAAGCGAGCGCAGGCGGUUUAAUAAGUCUGAAGUUAAAGGCAGUGGCUUAACCAUUGUUCGCUUUGGAAACUGUUAAACUUGAGUGCAGAAGGGGAGAGUGGAAUUCCAUGUGUAGCGGUGAAAUGCGUAGAUAUAUGGAGGAACACCGGUGGCGAAAGCGGCUCUCUGGUCUGUAACUGACGCUGAGGCUCGAAAGCGUGGGGAGCAAACA